CACCUACGGGGGGCAGCAGUGGGGAAUAUUGCACAAUGGGGGAAACCCUGAUGCAGCGACGCUGCGUGAAGGAAGAAGUAUUUCGGUAUGUAAACUUCUAUCAGCAGGGAAGAAAAUGACGGUACCUGACUAAGAAGCCCCGGCUAACUACGUGCCAGCAGCCGCGGUAAUACGUAGGGGGCAAGCGUUAUCCGGAUUUACUGGGUGUAAAGGGAGCGUAGACGGAUAAGCAAGUCUGAUGUGAAAAUCCGGGGCCCAACCCCGGAAUUGCAUUGGAAACUGCAUAUCUAGAGUGUCGGAGAGGG
rnacentral:rRNA from 1 species